ACGAAAAAGAAAAUAUUUUGUUGCACUAUAAAUUACAGUAUAAAUUAAUAACUAAUGAAUUCUAACAAUUGUAUUCGGUUAUUAUCACUACAAAAUAAAAUAUUCAAGUUUAACAAAAUAAUCCCAUAAGACUCAAUGUUAAAACGUUCUUACAAAAUCUGACAGCGUAUCACGUGACUGUACGUAGAGGGGAGACGCACGGAGCCAAUUCAAACAAUUAAUCACAAGUAACUAUCUAAAUUGGUGACAUUUGGCAACAGUGACUAGACCUGGUUUAUUUAUGUAUGUUUAUUCCAAACAUAACCUUAUAAACAAACAGUUGUUUAUUUAGAGUUAUUUAUUAAUUUAUUAUUGUUUUCUGAUAUUUUGCAGUUGUUAAGUUGGUUUACUUCGAAUUUAAUAUGCAUUACUGUGGUAUUUCUCCAGUUUUCUAAGAAGGCUGGUGAUUUUGAAUUGGGAUUAUGAUGAAUUUAACCCAAAGGCAAUUAGGGAAUCCAAACCACGUGACCUCUGGUUGGCACACAAACUAACAAAGAGGUUAUGUUUGUAUCUAUUUUUCAAUGAUUUUUCAUUGUUUAUCGUCGUAUUUUGGAUUCAUUUGGAUUUCGUUUCCUGUUUUUGUGAACUUUAUAAACUUUACCACAAUGCAAACUGAUUAUUUAAGGAAAUUAUUAUUGGAAACUCCAGAUGUUGCGAGAAAGGUAGGCGAAACAAUUUUUUUUACUGUUCAUUUUGCCCCGAUAUUUAUCAAUAAUGAUGAAUUUUGCAAGCAAUAACAUUAUUUCUUUUAUUGUUCUAGAUAUUUAUUGAAGCUGAAAAUAAUUGGGGAUUUAGAUCCAUACGCAAUUCAGUCAGAAUUGGAUUUUACAGUAAAGUGCAGUCCAUCAAGUUACUAUUAUAGAUAUUUAUACAUAUCUGGUGGAGUCUGAUAUGUCACAGUUGCUACUCUAAGCAGCAGAUGAAAGCAUACAAAAGCCUUCAGGCACAUAAAUAUUUUACAGCUGGAUUUGUUUUGAAUGGAGUAAAAAUUGUUAAUGAUUUCCUGAUUUCCAUAUUAUUGUCGGAAAGGUGAAGCAUUUCCAAAAAUCUAAUGCUAAACGACUAAAUGCUUGGGUGGGGUGAUAGCCAGUUCUGAUGACAUAGCAAAUUCACAUUGUAUGGGUAUGGCCGGUAAUAGUGAAGUCUGCAGCAAUCCUAUUUUUAGCUUAGUAUGCUCAGGGCAAGACAGACGAAGAAGAACCCAAUGUAUGUACAUAUGUUACAGCUAUACCUCGUCCAAUUUACUUACCUUUGCACGUCAUCCGCGCCAUAGCCUGUGACACGAUACCAACACGAAAUAUCUAGGCGGUAGGUGUGUUCCCCUUUAGAAUCAUUUUGAUUCUAAAAAAGAACACAUCCACCGCCUAAAUAUUUUGUGUUGGUAUCGUGUCACAGGCUAUGGCGCGGAUGACGUGCAACGGUAAGUAAAUUGGACGAGGUAUAGAUGGUUUGGAGAUAGCAACAUAUGCAUUCUCUGAUGAAAAACUAAUGAGUUUUGAAACUGUUCGGUCAGAGUGCUUGUUGCGCUCACUAAACGAAUUGAAAUAUAAGAUGGCUUUGGCAUUGUGUUGCAGUGAUAUGAAAAUGGUUAUUCAUUUUUAAUUAUAAUGUACUUCUUCAUCAUGAGUAAUUAUGUAUUGGUCUUUUAAAUGUGUAUUUAUUUUUGUAAUUAGUAUCAACUUGUAAUGAUAAUAUACAUUUAUCGUUGAGGGUAUGACUAUGUUUUGACUCUAAAAUAAAUGUUUUAAAAAUCGAA